rnacentral:rRNA from 1 species
AUUGAACGCUGGCGGCGUGCUUAACACAUGCAAGUCGUGCGAGAAAGGGGACUUCGGUCCCUGAGUAGAGCGGCGCACGGGUGAGUAACGCGUGGAUCAUCUGCCCAAUUGUUCGGGAUAACGGCGGGAAACUGCCGCUAAUACCGGAUACGCUCCAAUUUCGGUUGGGGGAAAGGCGGCCUCUGCUUGCAAGCUGUCGCUUUUGGAUGAGUCCGCGUCCCAUUAGCUUGUUGGUGGGGUAAUGGCCUACCAAGGCUACGAUGGGUAGCUGGUCUGAGAGGAUGAUCAGCCACACUGGAACUGAAACACGGUCCAGACUCCUACGGGAGGCAGCAGUGGGGAAUAUUGCGCAAUGGGGGAAACCCUGACGCAGCGACGCCGUGUGAGGGAAGAAGGCUUUCGGGUCGUAAACCUCUGUCGGGAAGGAAGAACCCCCCCAUAUCCGAAUAGGGUGUGGGGCUGACGGUACUUCCAAAGGAAGCACCGGCUAACUCCGUG